AUUUGCUGUAGCUGGGUUCUAUGAGUUGAUGGUGCAGGCGCCGCCGAUACAGGUUCUGGUUGUGUAACAGGUUCGAUUUCUGCAACAGUUUC
rnacentral:tRNA from 2 species